rnacentral:rRNA from 1 species
GAUGAACGCUGGCGGCGUGCCUAAUACAUGCAAGUCGAGCGAACGGACGAGAAGCUUGCUUCUCUGAUGUUAGCGGCGGACGGGUGAGUAACACGUGGAUAACCUACCUAUAAGACUGGGAUAACUUCGGGAAACCGGAGCUAAUACCGGAUAAUAUUUUGAACCGCAUGGUUCAAAAGUGAAAGACGGUCUUGCUGUUACUUAUAGAUGGAUCCGCGCCGCAUUAGCUAGUUGGUAAGGUAACGGGUUACUAAGGCAACGAUGCAUAGCCGCCCUGAGAGGGUGAACGGCAACACUGGAAAUGAGACCCGGCACAAACUGCUACGAGAAGAACCAGUAGGGAAUCUUCCGCAAUGCGCGAAAGCCUGACCGAGCAACGCCGCGUGAGUGAUGAAGGUCUUCGGCUCGUAAAACUCUGUUAUUAGGGAAGAACAUAUGUGUAAGUAACUGUGCACAGCUUGACGGUACCUACUCAGAAAGCCACGGCUAACUACGUG